AUUCUUUCUUCUUCAACCGUGGGAAAGAACAGAAAAUAGCAGCCAUGGAUGAGCUCCAUUCGCCAAGCUUUUAUGGCUUAUAUAGAGUUUCCAGGUUAGCUCGGGUUGGAGGCCGUCGGAGAUAUUAUCACCCUAUCGAGUUAACGUUAUCGGAGUAAGUAAACUCAAGUGAUUGAGUCUAUGGCAUGUAUAGGGUUUUAAUGUGAGUAUGUAAUAUUAUGAUUUAGCCAAAGGCGUUGGCUUGUUAUUAAGGUAGUAUUAGUCAUGUAAAUUGGCCUAUGUCGGCUAAUGACAUUAUGGGCCCAUAUGAUUAUUCUUAUGCAUGUAUGUUAUUAUCUCUUGUGAUGUGGCUUACAACAUGUAUGCCUAGAGAUUGAAUUGAGAUUCAUUGAUGAGCUAGUAACUAAUGCAGGAUUAAGUGAUUGGUAAAUAGUUAAUAAUGCUUCAUGAAUGGUUUGUGAGGUAAUGAUAGUUAUGUCUAGUAUGUGGUAAUGAUAUGGGCAAAUUCUAUAAUAUUUAUUGCAUAAGAAAAUAA